AUGUGCACUCAGUUUCCUGCGCGCCAUCCGCGCCACCUGACGACCGCUCGCUACGUUUUAUCAGCU
rnacentral:sRNA from 2 species